UACGUAGGGGGCAAGCGUUGUCCGGAAUCAUUGGGCGUAAAGCGCGUGUAGGCGGCUUGGUAAGUCCGCUCUGAAAGCCCGGGGCUCAACCCCGGGAGGCGGGUGGAUACUGUCAAGCUCGAGUCCGGAAGAGGCGAGUGGAAUUCAUGGUGUAGCAGUGAAAUGCGUAGAGAUCAUGAGGAAGACCAGUGGCGAAGGCGGGUCUCUGGACAGUUCCUGACACUGAGGCACGAAGGCCAGGGGAGCAAACGGG
rnacentral:rRNA from 1 species